CCUCAGUGUCCUCAUUUAUAAAAUGGGAUUGAUAAUAGUAUCUAGCUCAUAGGAUUAAGGGGAUUGAACCAGUUAA